rnacentral:misc_RNA from 1 species
CUUGUAUCAUAGCAUGAUUCAGAUGUUGGGGAAGAACAAAUUUAUUGAAAUGGCUGAAGAAUUCUUUUCGAAACUAGAGAAGGAAGGUUUGAAGCCUGAUACAAGAACAUUUACUGAGAUGAUUGGGGCUUAUCUACGAGUGGAUAUGAUUGAUAAGGCAAUGGAAACAUAUGGCAGAAUGAAGGCUUCAGGUUGUACCCCAG